rnacentral:rRNA from 1 species
UACGUAGGGUGCGAGCGUUGUCCGGAAUUAUUGGGCGUAAAGGGCUCGUAGGCGGUCUGUCGCGUCGGGAGUGAAAACUCAGGGCUUAACCCUGAGCCUGCGUCCGAUACGGGCAGACUAGAGGUAUGCAGGGGAGAGCGGAAUUCCUGGUGUAGCGGUGGAAUGCGCAGAUAUCAGGAGGAACACCGGUGGCGAAGGCGGUGCUCUGGGCAUUACCUGACGCUGAGGAGCGAAAGUGUGGGGAGCGAACAGG